rnacentral:tRNA from 1 species
ACCUGGGUGGCUCAGUCGGUUGAGUGUCUGACUUCAGCUCAGGUCAUGAUCUCGUGGUCCGUGAGUUCGAGCCCCACAUCGGGCU